CAAAGUCUUAAAGAUGCAGUCACACUAAGAACCAGUGAAUAUUUGCUUCACCUCUUCUUCACUUAAAUGGGAAAUUACAAAAAGAGUUCAAGAUUUACAGGUGUUUUUCCACCUCAACAAUCUCGCCUGCUGCAACUGACAACAGAAAACGACCAGAUACAGCUGUAAUUGAACUCGCAGCGUUUCUUCUAAACUGGUUAUUUCUUCAGACCUUCCCUCAGAUCCCUGCAAAAUAACUUAUUUCUGCAUCCACCAAUUGAUUUUGAUUGGAAAAACAAAGCCCUGGAGACAGGACUGUUGCUAAACAUGACCAUUCCUUUAUUACAUGUAACCAAACUACUUUAUUCCUUUAAUACUGUACAUGUCAUCAUACUGGCAAGUAA